rnacentral:lncRNA from 1 species
GUGGCCACUUACCUCGAAGAUGAUGAGUCAUAGCAUUGGCCUUUCUUAGUUGCAUCAAAAUUCUCUUUGGCCAAGAAACUUGUCUUCGACCAUGAGGAUCUCAAGUUGUCUCCAUGAAUGAUCUCAUGACUUACCCAUAGAGAUAUCAAUGUUCUUGCUACGGGGGUUAGUCAAAAAGUGCAACCAAGUUCCAUGCAAGUAUGUUUGGUUCAAUAAUCAAACUUAACACCAUGUCUUGUUUGAUUAAGGUAGUCUAUUUAACCUAAGCACCAUGCUUAAUUUAAAAUGACUAUGGAGGUACUCACUCAAGCGAUUAGUAUAACCAAACCAAAGCAUACUAACAUAGAAAGAGGGAGUAUGAUAGGAUGAACAAGAUUCAUUAUACUAGAGACAAGAUAAUGAGUGAUGAAGACAAGAGGCAAAUAUUUUUUUUCUUUUAUUAUUAUUAUUUUUUAAUUUUUAUAUGCAAGGAAAUGCAAAGUGGAGGAUGAAUGCAUUUAAACAAAUAUGUUGUGGUUAAAAUAAAGAAUAAAAAAAUAAAUGAGUGAUAUGCAUGAACAUCUAGGCUUUAGCUUUGUCUUGUGGCGUGGCCCAUCCAAAGGAUAUCAUCAUACCGACUAUUAAAGCCGAUAUAUGAGCCGGGAUGUUCCCGUUUAACAUUCGACUACCACAAGCUAUACUAGAAGCCCGAAUA